CGCGAGGACAUUAUCGAGCGAAUCCAAAACGAACAAAAAAGUCUCCCAACGUGCAUACCUUUCCAUUUGCAUGUUGUUGUGAGCCACAUGGAAACUCGUACACACGUGGUGGCAGCCGUCUGCUGUGCUUUUUUUAGGCAGACAAUGGCUUACGAGUGGCCGUGUGCUUGUUGAACAACGGUGACCAAUUUGGCGUCUACGCCGUAUCUAGCUUCUGCCUGGACCGUCAGUUGCGAUGAAAGAUGCGGAGAAAGUUCCUUUGUUUUGGCUGCUAAUCAUCAUUGAUGAGCAGCAGCUUAAGGCAGAGUCGAGCAGACUUAAUGAGCCACGCUAGGUGGCCGCCAAAACCCAAAACACAACCGGUCUAUUUGACAUUGUUAUUUCAUUGUAUGUGUUGAAAAUGUACAAAUCUUGGCGGUGGAUCACUCGGUUCGUGGAUCGAUGAAGAACGCAGCCAGCUGCGAUAAAUAGUGCGAAUUGCAGACACAUUGAGCACUAAGAAUUCGAACGCACAUUGCGCUAUCGGGUUCAUUCCCGAUGGCACGUCUGGCUGAGGGUCGAAUUACGGUGAACUGUCUUCACGGUUUUUCUGGACUGUGAAGCAUUCGGCAAGCAAUUGCUGUUGUGUUGUUGGUGAUUCUAUCAUGGACAAUAUGACGAGCGGUUCCUUGCUUAGUGAUGACAAAAGAAGACGUCAACACCGAAUCUACUAUACUACUAAUACUAGUAUAUAGGUGAGGUGCUUUUGGUGGUCACAAAAGUGACAAGUAUGCCAUUUCAUAGGGGCAACAACCAGCAUACGUGAUAAGUUGGCUGGUUGAUGAAACGGCAACGGAAUGACGGACGUCUAUGUGAUCAAAAAUGAUACUAUUUGACCUCAGCUCAGUCGUGAUUACCCGCUGAAUUUAAGCAUAUAUUAAGCGGCG
rnacentral:rRNA from 1 species